UNCCUUCAGCUGCUGCCUCUCAAUAUC
rnacentral:piRNA from 1 species